GAUGAACGCUGGCGGCGUGCCUAACACAUGCAAGUCGAGCGGGGUUAGGGUGGUGCUUGCACUAGCCGAAGCUUGGCGGCGGACGGGUGAGUAACACGUAGGCAACCUACCCAUAACAUAGGGAUACCUUAGGGAAACUUAAGUUAAUACCAAAUAAGCUCUUAGUAUCGCAUGAUAGAUAGAGAAAAGAUUAUAUCGGUUAUGGAUGGGCCUGCGUCUGAUUAGCUAGUUGGUGUGGUAACGGCAUACCAAGGCAACGAUCAGUAGCCGACCUGAGAGGGUGAACGGCCACAUUGGGACUGAGACACGGCCCAAACUCCUACGGGAGGCAGCAGUGGGGAAUAUUGCACAAUGGGCGCAAGCCUGAUGCAGCAACGCCGCGUGAAGGAAGAAGGUUUUCGGAUCGUAAACUUCUUUAGUCCGGGAAGAUAAUGACGGUACCGGAAGAAUAAGCCCCGGCUAACUACGUGCCAGCAGCCGCGGUAAUACGUAGGGGGCGAGCGUUAUCCGGAAUUACUGGGUGUAAAGGGUGAGUAGGCGGUUAGAUAAGCCAUAAGUGAAAGGCUGGUGCUCAACACCGGCAAGCUUAAGGAACUGUGUAACUAGAGUAUGGGAGAGGCAAGUGGAAUUCCUAGUGUAGCGGUGAAAUGCGUAGAUAUUAGGAGGAACACCGGUGGCGAAGGCGACUUGCUGGACCAAGACUGACGCUGAGUCACGAGAGCGUGGGGAGCAAACAGGAUUAGAUACCCUGAUAGUCCACGCUGUAAACGAUGAGUGCUAGGUGUCGGGGUGAGAACUUCGGUGCCGCAGCAAACGCAAUAAGCACUCCACCUGGGGAGUACGGUCGCAAGAUUGAAACUCAAAGGAAUUGACGGGGGCCCGCACAAGCGGUGGAGCAUGUGGUUUAAUUCGAAGCAACGCGAAGAACCAUACCAAGACUUGACAUCCCUUUGACAGGUGCAGAGAUGUGCCCUUCUUCGGACAAAGGAGACAGGUGGUGCAUGGUUGUCGUCAGCUCGUGUCGUGAGAUGUUGGGUUAAGUCCCGCAACGAGCGCAACCCUUGCCUUUAGUAGCCAGUGGGUGAAGCCAGGCACACUAGAGGGACUGCCGUGGAUAACACGGAGGAAGGUGGGGAUGACGUCAAAUCAUCAUGCCCCUUAUGUUUUGGGCAACACACGUGCUACAAUGGUAAUUACAAAGUGAAGCAAGACGGUGACGUUAAGCAAAGCACAAAAAAGUUAUCCCAGUUCGGAUUGUAGUCUGCAACUCGACUAUAUGAAGCUGGAAUCGCUAGUAAUCGCGGAUCAGCAUGCCGCGGUGAAUACGUUCUCGGGCCUUGUACACACCGCCCGUCACACCAUGGGAGUUGGAAGUGCCCAACGUGCGUGACUCAACCGCAAGGGGAGAGCGCCCUAAGGCAAAGUCAGCGACUGGGGUG
rnacentral:rRNA from 1 species